rnacentral:RNase_P_RNA from 1 species
AUAACCGCCUGUUCUGUCGCACGGCAAUUUGUGCCGGGAGGAAAGUCCGGACAACGCAGAGCACCAUACUUCCUAACAGGAAGGGCUUGUUUUACAAGUACAGACAGUGCCACAGAAAAUAUACCGCCUGCAAAGGUAAGGGUGAAAAUGUGAGGUAAGGGCUCACACUCGUAUGGGUGACCAUGCGUGCGGCAAACCUUAUGGGUUGAAAGACCAUGUAAACCGGGGCUUGAGGGCUGCUCGUCCGACCCGGAGGGUAGGUCGAUAGAGGUAUUUAGUGAUAAAUAUCCAAGAUAAAUGACAGAAACCGGAGCAAUCCGGAUACAGAAUCCGGCUUAUAGGGCGGUUAUUUUU